UUAACACCCAUUGAUCACUUUAGAAGGUGUCGCGAUGACUUUAUGUGCCCAAUUCAACCCAUAAGGCUAAAACCCCUAUCCUCUUUCUUUCUCAUUCUCAGGAAUCAAUAUUGCAGCCUCUCUUUUUCUCUUCUCGCUCUUGGUCCUUCCCUCCUCACUGUGCCAUUUGUUUCAAGUAUCAAUCUUAAAAUCCCUGUGUAGAUAUCACACAAUCUCUCUCUACUUGCUAUCAUUGUGUUGUUAAACAAAGAAGAAGAAGAAGAAGAAGAAGAAUCAGGAAAUCGAACAAGACUGCUGAGCAUUUCAAAGACGCAAAGCAAUCAAAUAGGCUGCUGAACAUUUCAAAAAUCAUGCAUGGAUCCAGAGGAUGUUGAAUCAUAUAAAUUUUCAGCUAUAUGAUUUCAUUAAAAGAGCUACUUCAUUUUCUGAGUCAUUUACUGUGGAAAAGAAAUACAAGAUUUAUGUUUUGAACCUGUAAAUGAAUGAAUGAAUUUCAACAGAGGAAAGUCACUCUAUUUUUGUCCUUUUUUCCCUAUUUUAUUCAUUAAUCUUUCACAAAUAUUUUAUUAGUCUUUUAAUCUCUAUUUUUGCUAAGUUGGUCCAUUACCUUUUGUUAUUGACUUUAAUGCAUUGGUAGGAAGUUUAUCAUGUGCAUGGAUUUGACAUGGACAUGGAAAAUACCAAGCUAUGCUAUUAUCAAUUUAUUUAAUUAUUACAUUAACCUGAAUAUUCUGAUGUUACAAUUCAAUUGCUUCAAAAUUUGUUAUAAA